rnacentral:rRNA from 1 species
AGAGUUUGAUCCUGGCUCAGGACGAACGCUGGCGGCGCGCCUAACACAUGCAAGUCGAACGAGCGAGAGAGAGCUUGCUUUCUCGAGCGAGUGGCGAACGGGUGAGUAACGCGUGAGGAACCUGCCUCAAAGAGGGGGACAACAGUUGGAAACGACUGCUAAUACCGCAUAAGCCCACGGCUCGGCAUCGAGCAGAGGGAAAAGGAGCAAUCCGCUUUGAGAUGGCCUCGCGUCCGAUUAGCUAGUUGGUGAGGUAACGGCCCACCAAGGCGACGAUCGGUAGCCGGACUGAGAGGUUGAACGGCCACAUUGGGACUGAGACACGGCCCAGACUCCUACGGGAGGCAGCAGUGGGGAAUAUUGCACAAUGGGGGAAACCCUGAUGCAGCGACGCCGCGUGGAGGAAGAAGGUCUUCGGAUUGUAAACUCCUGUUGUUGGGGAAGAUAAUGACGGUACCCAACAAGGAAGUGACGGCUAACUACGUGCCAGCAGCCGCGGUAAAACGUAGGUCACAAGCGUUGUCCGGAAUUACUGGGUGUAAAGGGAGCGCAGGCGGGAAGACAAGUUGGAAGUGAAAUCUAUGGGCUCAACCCAUAAACUGCUUUCAAAACUGUUUUUCUUGAGUAGUGCAGAGGUAGGCGGAAUUCCCGGUGUAGCGGUGGAAUGCGUAGAUAUCGGGAGGAACACCAGUGGCGAAGGCGGCCUACUGGGCACCAACUGACGCUGAGGCUCGAAAGUGUGGGUAGCAAACAGGAUUAGAUACCCUGGUAGUCCACACCGUAAACGAUGAUUACUAGGUGUUGGAGGAUUGACCCCUUCAGUGCCGCAGUUAACACAAUAAGUAAUCCACCUGGGGAGUACGACCGCAAGGUUGAAACUCAAAGGAAUUGACGGGGGCCCGCACAAGCAGUGGAGUAU